rnacentral:rRNA from 1 species
CACGUAGGCGGCAUGGUAAGUCAAAGGUGAAAGCCCUCGGCUCAACCGAGGAACUGCCUUUGAAACUGCUUUGCUUGAGUCCGGGAGGGGGGAGCGGAAUUCCCAGUGUAGCGGUGAAAUGCGUAGAUACUGGGAGGAACACCGGUGGCGAAGGCGGCUCCCUGGACCGGUACUGACGCUGAGGUGCGAAAGCGUGGGUAGCAAACA